rnacentral:rRNA from 1 species
AUGAAGAGUUUGAUCCUGGCUCAGGAUGAACGCUAGCGGCAGGCCUAACACAUGCAAGUCGAGGGGUAACAGGGAGCUUGCUCCGCUGACGACCGGCGCACGGGUGCGCACCGCGUAUGGAACCUACCUUUUACAGGGGAAUAGCCCAGGGAAACUUGGAUUAAUGCCCCGUGGUACUAUUAUGUGGCAUCACAUUAUAGUUAAAGCCUUCGGGCGGUAGAAGAUGGCCAUGCGUCCCAUUAGUUUGUUGGUAAGGUAACGGCUUACCAAGACUACGAUGGGUAGGGGCCCUGAGAGGGGGAUCCCCCACACUGGUACUGAGACACGGACCAGACUCCUACGGGAGGCAGCAGUGAGGAAUAUUGGACAAUGGAGGAGACUCUGAUCCAGCCAUGCCGCGUGCAGGAAGAAUGCCCUAUGGGUAGUAAACUGCUUUUAUACAGGAAGAAAAAGGGGUACGUGUGCCCUACUGACGGUACUGUAAGAAUAAGGACCGGCUAACUCCGUGCCAGCAGCCGCGGUAAUACGGAGGGUCCGAGCGUUAUCCGGAAUUAUUGGGUUUAAAGGGUCCGUAGGCGGGCGAUUAAGUCAGUGGUGAAAGUCUGUAGCUCAACUAUAGAAUUGCCUUUGAUACUGAUUGUCUUGAGUUAUAGUGAAGUUGCCGGAAUAUGUAGUGUAGCGGUGAAAUGCAUAGAUAUUACAUAGAACACCGAUUGCGAAGGCAGGUGACUAACUAUAUACUGACGCUGAUGGACGAAAGCGUGGGGAGCGAACAGGAUUAGAUACCCUGGUAGUCCACGCCGUAAACGAUGGAUACUAGCUGUCCGGAACCUUGAGUUCUGGGCGGCCAAGCGAAAGUGAUAAGUAUCCCACCUGGGGAGUACGUUCGCAAGAAUGAAACUCAAAGGAAUUGACGGGGGCCCGCACAAGCGGUGGAGCAUGUGGUUUAAUUUGAUGCAACGCGAAGAACCUUACCAGGGUUUGACAUGACAUGAAUUUUUCUGAGAAGAAAAAGUGCCUUUUAGGAGCAUGUACACAGGUGGUGCAUGGCUGUCGUCAGCUCGUGUCGUGAGAUGUUGGGUUAAUUCCCGCAACGAGCGCAACCCUUGUUCACUGUUGCCAGCACGUUAUGGUGGGGACUCAGUGGAGACCGCCGGGGUCAACUCGGAGGAAGGUGGGGAUGACGUCAAGUCAUCAUGCCCCUUAUGUCCAGGGCUUCACGCAUGCUACAAUGGCUGGUACAGAGAGUGGCGAGCCUGUGAGGGUGAGCGAAUCUCGGAAAGCCGGUCUCAGUUCGGAUUGGGGUCUGCAACUCGACCUCAUGAAGUCGGAGUCGCUAGUAAUCGCAGAUCAGCAACGCUGCGGUGAAUACGUUCCCGGGGCUUGUACACACCGCCCGUCAAGUCAUGAAAGUUGGUAACACCCGAAGCCGGUGGCCUAACCGUUGUGGGGGAGCCGUCGAAGGUGGGACUGGUGAUUAGGACUAAGUCGAAACAAGGUAGCCGUACCGGAAGGUGCGGCUGGAUCACCU